rnacentral:rRNA from 1 species
UACGAAGGGUGCAAGCGUUACUCGGAAUUACUGGGCGUAAAGCGUGCGUAGGUGGUUCGUUAAGUCGGAUGUGAAAGCUCCAAGCUCAACUUGGAAACGGCAUUGGAAACUACCUUGCUAGAGGGUUUGAGGGGGGACUGGAAUACUUGGUGUAGCAGUGAAAUGCGUAGAUAUCAAGUGGAACACCAGUGGCGAAGGCGAGUCCCUGGAAAACUCCUGACACUGAGGCACGAAAGCUAGGGGAGCAAACAGG